rnacentral:tRNA from 1 species
AGGCUUAUAGUUCAGUAGGUAGAACAUACCGCUCAUAACGGUACAGACGUAGGUUCAAAUCCUACUAAGCCUA